AAGAUAAAAGAUAGAGGAAAUCAUCUUAAUGGAAGCAAGAAGAGAAGAAGGAUGGAACAUAAGCCAAAUGAGAAUGGACACUGUGCUGACCCUACAGCUAUGCAAGCUACUGCUCAGCAUGAACGUGGUGACAGUUGGAAGUUGCCUUUGAAGCAAAAUGUGGAUGUAGAAGCAGAGAAGAUGAAGACAUGCUGCAGUCAUUUGUACCAGCCGAUCUGUAAAUGUCCGAGCCACUAUCUGCAGAAGUAAUUCUCUUGAAGAUGAAGAAGGCAGUACUAACUCUGAACACAAAUGCCCUAAAGUCCUCAAUCAAAAGACAUGGAUUAGCAGAAUGGGUAAAAAGCAGUGGCCAUCUCUCUGUUUGCCUAUUGGAGACAUAGCUAAUCAACAAAUAUAUGAAAGCUGAGUGUGAAAGGCUGGAAAAGCACAUUUCACGCCAAAGGAAAAGAAGAAGACCCAGUGUAGCCAUUCAACUCUCAGAGGAGAUAGACUUCAUUGU